ACGAACGCUGGCGGCACGCUUAACACAUGCAAGUCGAACGAGAGAAGAGAAGCUUGCUUUUCUGAUCUAGUGGCGGACGGGUGAGUAACACGUGAGCAAUCUGCCUUUCAGAGGGGGAUACCGAUUGGAAACGAUCGUUAAUACCGCAUAACAUAAUUGAACCGCAUGAUUUGAUUAUCAAAGAUUUAUCGCUGAAAGAUGAGCUCGCGUCUGAUUAGCUAGUUGGUAAGGUAACGGCUUACCAAGGCGACGAUCAGUAGCCGGACUGAGAGGUUGAUCGGCCACAUUGGGACUGAGACACGGCCCAGACUCCUACGGGAGGCAGCAGUGGGGAAUAUUGCACAAUGGAGGAAACUCUGAUGCAGCGAUGCCGCGUGAGGGAAGAAGGUUUUAGGAUUGUAAACCUCUGUCUUCAGGGACGAAAAAAGACGGUACCUGAGGAGGAAGCUCCGGCUAACUACGUGCCAGCAGCCGCGGUAAUACGUAGGGAGCGAGCGUUGUCCGGAAUUACUGGGUGUAAAGGGAGCGUAGGCGGGAUUGCAAGUCAGAUGUGAAAACUAUGGGCUUAACCCAUAAACUGCAUUUGAAACUGUGGUUCUUGAGUGAAGUAGAGGUAAGCGGAAUUCCUAGUGUAGCGGUGAAAUGCGUAGAUAUUAGGAGGAACAUCAGUGGCGAAGGCGGCUUACUGGGCUUUAACUGACGCUGAGGCUCGAAAGCGUGGGGAGCAAACAGGAUUAGAUACCCUGGUAGUCCACGCCGUAAACGAUGAUUACUAGGUGUGGGGGGACUGACCCCUUCCGUGCCGCAGCAAACGCAAUAAGUAAUCCACCUGGGGAGUACGACCGCAAGGUUGAAACUCAAAGGAAUUGACGGGGGCCCGCACAAGCAGUGGAGUAUGUGGAUUAAUUCGAAGCAACGCGAAGAACCUUACCAGGUCUUGACAUCGUAUGCAUAGCUCAGAGAUGAGUGAAAUCUCUUCGGAGACAUAUAGACAGGUGGUGCAUGGUUGUCGUCAGCUCGUGUCGUGAGAUGUUGGGUUAAGUCCCGCAACGAGCGCAACCCUUACUGUUAGUUGCUACGCAAGAGCACUCUAGCAGGACUGCCGUUGACAAAACGGAGGAAGGUGGGGAUGACGUCAAAUCAUCAUGCCCCUUAUGACCUGGGCCUCACACGUACUACAAUGGCUGUCAACAGAGGGAAGCAAAGCCGCGAGGUGGAGCAAACCCCUAAAAGCAGUCUUAGUUCGGAUUGUAGGCUGCAACCCGCCUACAUGAAGUCGGAAUUGCUAGUAAUCGCAGAUCAGCAUGCUGCGGUGAAUACGUUCCCGGGCCUUGUACACACCGCCCGUCACGCCAUGGGAGUCGGUAACACCCGAAGCCUGUAGUCUAACCGCAAGGAGGACGCAGUCGAAGGUGGGAUUGAUAACUGGGGUG
rnacentral:rRNA from 1 species